rnacentral:lncRNA from 1 species
AUGCUCUUGGUCUCUCCUACCGUGGACUUCAGGUGGUUGAGGAAAGGCUUGCAACUCAUCCUCAACACUUGGCAUUGCCUUCCCCUCGAGGGAACGCUGGCAUCCUGCUCCCAUCAGAGCCUCGACAAUCGCACAGUCUACACACACUUGGACAUCAGCAUCACAAAUGAUCAUGUGAGUAAGCAGAGAAAAAAGCUGCAGACUGUAGAAGCUCAGAUGUGUUUAGGUGAUGAAAUCUUCCCCAUAGGCCUUGUGAGAAAGCAUUUCAUCUUGAGUAUCAAGAGCUGA